AUUGUAGGCUGAAACUCGCCUACAUGAAGCUGGAGUUGCUAGUAAUCGCGAAUCAGCAUGUCGCGGUGAAUACGUUCCCGGGCCUUGUACACACCGCCCGUCACACCAUGAGAGUUGGCAAUACCCAACGUACGUGAUCUAACCCGCAAGGGAGGAAGCGUCCUAAGGUAGGGUCAGCGAUUGGGUGAAGUCGUAACAAGGUAUC
rnacentral:rRNA from 1 species